CACAAACUUUAAUUAGUUUAAUAUAACAAGAAACUGGUCAUGCCAAAGUUACUGGUGAUAGUAGAACACUUCGAUCUCGGAUAUACGAAAGCGAUUAUAGUUGCCAGCAAAGAUACUUCUGGUGUUGCUUCCACCAUAACCGUAACCAGAGGGAGGCUUGUAGGUGUGCCCGAGGUUGGUGUACGAUCCUGUCUUAACGUUGCUGUUGGUUACAAUGUAGAGGUCGUGACCUCCUCCAAAAGUGGGACCAUAACCAUUGUUGGUAUAGAUAGCAUUGUUGUGGUUUCUGUAUACGGGCGCUUUGAAUGGCUUCAGGUUGUAUUUGUUACGGAAUGAAAACAGGAAGGAAUUGGUGGAACGGAGGUAACGAUUGCUACCUGAAUACAAAAAUUAUACAGUCGAAUUACUAUAGCUUUGCAUAACACUUUACUAGGAGCAAAUAAGCAAAUUACAG